rnacentral:rRNA from 1 species
GGGAGGUAGUGACAAUAAAUAACAAUACGGGGCCUUUCAGGUCUCGUAAUUGGAAUGAGUACAAUCUAAACCCCUUAACGAGGAACAAUUGGAGGGCAAGUCUGGUGCCAGCAGCCGCGGUAAUUCCAGCUCCAAUAGCGUAUAUUAAAGUUGUUGCAGUUAAAAAGCUCGUAGUUGAACCUUAGGCCCGUGCGGGCGGUCCGUCCUCUGGGCGAGCACUGCUCCGUCGCGGGUCUCACCUUCUGGCGAGCGUGGAUGCCAUUUAUUUGGUGUCCGCGGGAACCAGGACCUUUACCUUGAAAAAAUUAGAGUGCUCAAAGCGGGCUCCGACGCUUGAAUACAUUAGCAUGGAAUAAUGAAAUAGGACGUUCGAACCUAUUUUGUUGGUUUCUAGGAUCAACGUAAUGAUUAAUAGGGAUAGUUGGG